AUUGAACGCUGGCGGCAGGCCUAACACAUGCAAGUCGAGCGGAUGAAGGGAGCUUGCUCCUGGAUUCAGCGGCGGACGGGUGAGUAAUGCCUAGGAAUCUGCCUGGUAGUGGGGGAUAACGUCCGGAAACGGGCGCUAAUACCGCAUACGUCCUGAGGGAGAAAGUGGGGGGUCUUCGGACCUCACGCUCUCAGAUGAGCCUAGGUCGGAUUAGUUAGUUGGUGGGGUAAAGGCCUACCAAGGCGACGAUCCGUAACUGGUCUGAGAGGAUGAUCAGUCACACUGGAACUGAGACGCGGUCCAGACUCCUGCGGGAGGCAGCAGUGGGGAAUAUUGGACAAUGGGCGAAAGCCUGAUCCAGCCAUGCCGCGUGUGUGAAGAAGGUCUUCGGAUUGUAAAGCACUUUAAGUUGUGAUGAAGGGCAGUAAGUUAAGACCUUGCUGUUUUGACGGUACCAACAGAAUAAGCACCGGCUAACUUCGUG
rnacentral:rRNA from 1 species